AUCUAAGGAUUUAUGAUUUAGAUUUUAGGGUUUAGAGUUUAGGACGGCGUUAAAAAUAAUAUUUUUUUGCAUCUAGUACUAUUUUUUAUUUAUUUUUAUUUUAAAAUUAUGAUAUAAAUUGAUAAUAUUUUGAUUCAUUUUUCAAAAUAUAUUAAAUAUACAAUAACGACUUCCUAUUGGUUGGUAAACCCAAGAAUAACUCUAAUUAUAGAUAAAUUGUCAAUAAAAAAUGAUUUUUUAUUGGUUUUUAGAAUUGAAAUAAAAUAUUAAAAAAAAUUAAUGUUAUGAUACUAUAAUAUAACCAAAUAAAUAAAGAGAAAAAAUCCAUUGAUAUUUUAUUUUCAUGUCAUUUAAGUUUUCUUUGGAUUUCAUGAAAAUAAACUAAGAAUUAGCUAAAAAUAAAUUUUAUAUUUUAAAUUUAGUUUAAAUAAUUAUUUUUUUAUAUUUUGAAUAGGCCCCUUCAAGCUCAGGACCCGGCUC
rnacentral:lncRNA from 1 species